UGGGGGAAAAUUAAUAAAAAAAAAAAUAAAUAAUAAAAAUAAUUAUAAAAAAUAAUUAAUGGGGGUUAAAGUAUUUUUUAGAAAAAAUUUAUUAAUUUAUAGUUUAAUAGUAUUGUGAAAGAAUUUUGAAAUAAAGUUAAAUAUCAAUUAUUAUUUAAGUAAAUUUAAUUUAUUGUAUCUUGUGUAUCAGAGUUUAUUAAUAAAUAUUUAUAAAUAAAAAUAUCUCGAAUUUAAAAGAGAUAGUUAAUUAUUAAAGUUAAUGUGACAUAAUUAUUUUAAAUAAUUAAUUUGAAAUGAAAUGUUAAUCGUUUUUAAAAAUAUCUAGUUUUUUUAGAAAAAAAUUUAAUUUUAAAUUAAUUUAAUAAUUUUUUAAAUUUGUUAUAUAAAAUUAUAUAUUUAAUUAAAUAUUUUAGGGGAUAAGCUUUAAAUUAAAUUUUUAUAAUAUUUAAUAAAUUAUUUAAAUAUUUUAAAAUUUAUAUUUUUUAUAAAUUAUAAUUUUUUAUAAAUAAUUUUAUUUAUUUUAAAAUUUAAAUUUAUAUUUAAAUUUUUAUAAAAAAAAUAAUUUUUAAUAAUAAAAAAUUAGUUAUAAUGAUAAAAUUAGUAUAAAAAAAAAAAAAUAAAAUAAAAUUAAUUAAAAUUAAUAAAAAGGAAUUCGGCAAAAAU
rnacentral:rRNA from 1 species